rnacentral:rRNA from 1 species
AUUGGGGGCGUCCAAAGACCGGGCUCUCGAUACACUUGUGGAACGCCGUCUCUUCAAUUGUGGAAAGCAGCGCACGCCUCCGGUGUGCUUCGGUAUCUUCACGCUACGGACGCUGGUCUGUGGCUUCCCAUUCGACCCGUCUUGAAAACCAGACCAAGGAGUCUGACAUGUAUGAGAGUCAACAGGCGAGUAAACCCGUAUGGCGUAAGGAAGCUGAUUGGUGGUAUCCCCUCGAGGGGUGCACCACCGACGGACCUUGAUCUUCUGAGAAGGGUCCAAGUGUGAGCAUACCUAUCGGGACCCAAAAGAUGGUGAACUAUGCCUGAGCGGGGUGAAGCCAGAGAAAACUCUGGUGGAGGCCCGUAGUGAUACUGACAUGCAAAUCAUUCGUCUGACUUGGGUGUAGGGCCCGCGGCUGCUUUAUCUAGCCGUACCACGGAAUCAAGAGCUCCAAGUAGGCUAUUUUUUAUAAGCAGAACUGGGGAUGCGGGAUGAACCAACAGUCAGGUUACGGUGCCAAACUGCGCGCUAACCUAGAUCCCAUAAAGGGUGUUGGUCGGUGGUCAUGGAAGUCAAAAUCUGCUAAGGAGUGUGUAAGAACUCACCUGUCAAAUAAACUAGCCCCAAAAAUGGAUGGAGCUUAAGAGCGUGACCUACACCCGACCGUCGGGGAAAGUUUCAGGCCCCGAUGAGUAGGAGGGCGCAGCGGUCGCCGCAAAACCUUGGGCGCAAGCCCAGGCAGGAAAGGUACGGACAAGGAGAAUCCGACUAUUUAAUUAAAACAAAGCAUUGCGAUUGUCCCAACGGAUGUUCACGCAUUGUGAUUUCUGCUCAGUGCUAUGAAUGUCAAAGUGAAGAAAUUCAACCAAGCGCAGGUAAACAGCGGGAGUAACUAUGACUCUCUUAAGGUUGCCAAAUGCCUCGUCAUCUAAUUAGUGACGCGCAUGAGUGGAUUAACGAGAUUCCCACUACCCCUAUCUACUAUUCAGUGAAACCACAGCCAGGGGAACGGUCUUGGCAGAAUCAGCAGGGAAAGAAGACCCUCUUGAGCUUGACUAUACUCCGACUUUGUGAACUGACUUGAGAGGUGUAGUAUAAGUGGUAGCCGAAAUGAGAAAGUUAAAUACCACUACUUUUAACGUUAUUUUACUUGUUUCUUGAAUCAAAAGUGGGGCACUGCCCCUCUUUUUGGACCCAAGGCUCACUCUGCGGGCCGAUCUGGGCAGAAAACAUUGUCAGGUGGAGAUUUUGGCUGGGGCGGCACAUCUGUUAAAAGAUAACGCAGGUGUCCUAAGAUGAUCUCAAUGAGAAUAGAAAUAUCGUGUGGAACAGAAGGGUAAAAGCUCAUUUGAUGCUGAUUUCCAGUACGAUUAUGAACCAUGAAAGCGUGGCCUAACGAUCCAUUAGACCUUCGGAAUUCGAAGCUACAGGUGUCAGAAAAGUGUUACCAGAGGGAUAAUUGGCCUGUUGCAGCCAAUCGUUUAUAGCGACGUUGCUUUUUCUUCCUUUGAUGUCGGCUCUUCCUAUCAUUGUAAAGCAGAAUUCACCAAGUGUUGGGCUGUUCACCCACCAAUAGGGAAUGU